CUUGUAAACGACAAAUCCCUGGCGGUACAGUUGUGAAACAUACAUGCAGAACAUUUAUCAUGGUGAAUCUGCUGCUGCUGCUGGGUUUGAUCACUUACAGCGCUCAGUUUAAAACCUCCACUAUAUCUGUGUCAGGAGAAAACAGAGGAAACGUCACACUCAAAUGUGAACAUGAGGACAGUAAUAUUGUUCAGAUUAAGUUAUUCACUCCGUCAGAAAUCAUAUCUGUGUGUCAGACUGAAG